rnacentral:lncRNA from 1 species
GGGUUAUUGCUGACCAACUAGCGAGUGAAAGGUGAUGGCGAGAGGAGAAAGGAAGGUCUUGGAGAAAUAAACAACAGCAUACUCAACGUAUAAGGUACAUGGCUCCAGACACAAGGUCUAUGAUCUCUGCAACAGACAGGGUGAAAGUUUUAGCUAAUCUUUAACGCCAUGGUUCAUGCUUUUGCUAAGCUAGGACAGGAUGUGUUUAAACAUAGAACCCAGCCACAUCUUUCGGGCCAAGCUGUAGAACCACAGCCAUGGGAAGAAUGAAGAUAUUCAAACACACUGUAAAGACUCAGUCAGCUCCCACAAAGCCAAAACCUUCAGAUGUCGCAACGAUAAAUCAGAACUGAACCCCAUUACAGAUGACGCCAUAAAAGUGAAAUCAUCGGUACACACAUUUGCCAACAACUUUGCAGAAGACGUGCUUCAGAAUUUUGUGUGUGCUGCUUCCAGCUUACUGUUUAACUAUAAGCAAUCUCAGGGAGCAGAAUUUGACCCAGAGAAAGACAUUACACCAUGGGUAAUCAAGAUGCGUUCUUGUCCAGGAACUGCAAUGUGCUCUACUCUGGGCCACAGCCUUUUAGAAAAGAGGCUUUUGUCUACCAGACAAAAGCCUUCAGCAAAAGCUUUGCAGACUCUCUCGGAGUGCCCAUCUGAAUAGCUGGACAGUGGGUGCUUUGAUGGCGUCUCUCGAUGAGUUUUGUGACAUGCAGCAAGAGACCAGCAGAGGACACUAUAAGAGCUCCGAUUCUCUCCUGGAGCAUCUGCAGCACCUGAUUGACAACGUGUGCUGAUCUUGAAGCCUUACCCUUGCAGAACUGGUCAAUGAUCCAUGCAACACCCCCUGAAAUAAAGACAGAAAAUCCACACAAUCUUUCACAUCCCAAACAUUAAUAAAAGGAGACAAUGUCAUGACAAAGUAUACACAGUUAUAAUCAAUUUCACUCUGACCCAUUGAAAGUGAGCCCUUAAAGACGAAACAGCUGCAUGCACGCUGUCUGUUUAUAUGAGAUCUGCUCUACCGGUCCAAGCCCUCAAACCACAGCUGUUAUUAGGUAAGCGGAAAUCUGACUACAUAUCAGCUUUGGAAGUUACUACCACCCAAAACACACUGACACAUUCUUGACCAAAGAUCCUGUAUUCUGUAUGUUCCCGUGUUGUUAUUUUUCAAAAAAAUGUCAGUACCUAUAAUAAAGCGUGUCUGAAAAUGAUAAACAGUGAAUGCUGUAUUGUUGAAGCUGUUUUAUGAUGGAGCUGCGCAGGGC